rnacentral:lncRNA from 1 species
UUAUAAUAUUAAUCAAAGUACUGAAGUACUGAACAUCGGAUGACCGCAGGUUCUUGUGGAUGAUCAAAAGCACAUGUCACAGAAACAGAUCACAUCUCUAUACCUGAAACUUGGGUUAAUUUACAGAGAUAUUUUUUUUCUGACACAAGUUCGUGCUUGGAUGAUGAAUAAAUGACAGGAAAUUCAACCUCACCGUAAUAACUAUUACAUUGUAACGCCUCAGGUAUAGCAUUACGAAAUAAUAAUUAAAUGUGUGUGUGUGUGUUUACUUGCUUUACACUAGAACCUUGGUAGCAGGCCUUUUAUAAACUUUCACUGGUAAUCGUGAAACAUGCAAUGGUAACUUGCAAACCUUGGUAGCUGGACUGAGUAAUCUAAGACACUGGUUUCUUAUUCAUUUCAAGACAAAAUAUAACAAAAACAGUUAUAAGUUUAGCAAUGACUAUUUAAUCAGUCAUAAAUCAGUAUAUAUACAUGUUAUAAAUAAAUAUCACAAAGCAAAAACGGUUCAGAGCCCCCCUUGGAUGUUAAUCGUCGUGCGUAAACAUGGGAAAGUGGUUUUACUAUUUAUAGUAUUAUAGUAAAUAAUAUAGGUCACUUGUCAGGUCAUAAAUUUCAUAAAAAUCGGGGUUAGCAUUAACCUGGUAAUGGUUCACAAGUGGUAUAUGGCUCUGGUAAUAAUGGUAUAUCUAUUCAAAAUGGUCAAGGUAAUGUGUGCUGUGCUGUCAAGAAUCGUCUGCUACAACCGUUUAUAUAGUCCGGAAGUUCGCGGACACAGAAAGUGUGUCCGUUACUAUAACGAUAAGUGUGUCCGUUACUAUAACGAUAAGUGUGUCCGUUACUAUAACGAUAAGUGUGUCCGUAAAAUUAACGUAGCGAUUGGUUGUAAUUCUGAAUAUACAUAAUACCGGGUUCUGGAAACUAGGUUAUCUCUGUCCAUUCCGAUUGGUCCUUAAAACCGGAAGUUCCCACGGCAAUAAUAUGGAACAUGGCGCAAAAACAAAUAGAAAUACACAACUGUCGAGGAAAAAGGGGAGAUAUGGGCUUAUCAAGAAUAACCCUUAGUGGGAACGUACCCUGGUUACAAUAUAGACCCUUAACGUGAUUGAAUAAAACAGGUGAGCAAAAGGGACAAGCGAUAUACAGGUCAAACUAAAGCUGGGAUCAUGUCAAAGUACCCCCCUGGUCAAACAGUGAGAACGAACCCUGUCCUAUCAAUAUUUCCCAUAAACAAUAAUAUAAUAUACAAUACAAUACAAUACGGCCGCGAUACCUGAAAUAUAAAGUGUUCAUAGGCAUAGUCCUUCCGUUCAUAAUAUAACAGUGCAGCUCAGAGUAACGGAACACG